rnacentral:rRNA from 1 species
CCUACGGGUGGCAGCAGUGGGGAAUAUUGGACAAUGGGGGCAACCCUGAUCCAGCCAUGCCGCGUGUGUGAAGAAGGCCCUCGGGUUGUAAAGCACUUUCAGUGAGGAAGAACGCCUGGUGGUUAAUACCCAUCAGGAAAGACAUCACUCACAGAAGAAGCACCGGCUAACUCCGUGCCAGCAGCCGCGGUAAUACGGAGGGUGCGAGCGUUAAUCGGAAUUACUGGGCGUAAAGCGCGCGUAGGUGGCUUGAUAAGCCGGUUGUGAAAGCCCCGGGCUCAACCUGGGAACGGCAUCCGGAACUGUCAAGCUGGAGGGCAGGAGAGGAAGGUAGAAUUCCCGGUGUAGCGGUGAAAUGCGUAGAGAUCGGGAGGAAUACCAGUGGCGAAGGCGGCCUUCUGGACUGACACUGACACUGAGGUGCGAAAGCGUGGGUAGCAAACAGGAUUAGAUACCCCGGUAGUC